rnacentral:rRNA from 1 species
AGAGUUGUAUCCUGGCUCAGAACGAACGCUGGCGGCAGGCCUAACACAUGCAAGUCGAGCGCGCCUUCGGGCGAGCGGCGGACGGGUUAGUAACGCGUGGGAACGUGCCCAGAUCUACGGAAUAGCCACUGGAAACGGUGAGUAAUACCGUAUACGCCCUUCGGGGGAAAGAUUUAUCGGAUUUGGAUCGGCCCGCGUUAGAUUAGGUAGUUGGUGGGGUAACGGCCUACCAAGCCUACGAUCUAUAGCUGGUUUUAGAGGAUGAUCAGCAACACUGGGACUGAGACACGGCCCAGACUCCUACGGGAGGCAGCAGUGGGGAAUCUUGGACAAUGGGGGCAACCCUGAUCCAGCCAUGCCGCGUGAGUGAAGAAGGCCCUAGGGUCGUAAAACUCUUUCGCCUGUGAUGAUAAUGACAGUAGCAGGUAAAGAAACCCCGGCUAACUCCGUGCCAGCAGCCGCGGUAAUACGGAGGGGGUUAGCGUUGUUCGGAAUUACUGGGCGUAAAGCGCACGUAGGCGGAUUAGAAAGUUAGAGGUGAAAUCCCGGGGCUCAACCCCGGAACUGCCUUUAAAACUACUAGUCUAGAGUUCGAGAGAGGUGAGUGGAAUUCCGAGUGUAGAGGUGAAAUUCGUAGAUAUUCGGAGGAACACCAGUGGCGAAGGCGGCUCACUGGCUCGAUACUGACGCUGAGGUGCGAAAGUGUGGGGAGCAAACAGGAUUAGAUACCCUGGUAGUCCACACCGUAAACGAUGAAUGCCAGUCGUCGGGUAGUAUACUAUUCGGUGA